UCACGCUCGCUCUCCCAAGAGCCCCACGAUGACGCUGACUUCAGAUCCGCUGACGACAAUCUCCAGCACCUUCAAAUCCGCCAAUGAAAAAUCUAGGGAUGAAGAAUAUGACCGGGGAAAGAGGAAAUAGGUGAGGCAAGCUAAGAUUGAUUUUGGUGGCCCAAAUAUUUCUAGAAAAUCGCAUCAGAGAAAAUAAAUCUGAAGAAGACAAAACUUGAUAAGGCUAGCUCUGGGAGUUUGCCAUUCAGGAUAUAAAGUGAAUAUGUGGUAGGCUUCAAGCAAAGUAUGUUGAUUUUGAUCGUCCGAUUGAUAAAGCAGCAUUACUUGAUUGUUGCCCACCAUCAUAUGAGGAGUCUGCCCUACUUCUGGCAUUUAGGUACAAGGCUUUGUGAGAUUGGCUACUUUUAUGACCAUUUCUCUGUUUCCUUUGAGAUUUUGUUUGUUCCCUCAAGAGGCGUCAUGGUGGAUCAAGCAUUGGGGCAUAUUUUUUUCAGUUCUGGCUUUUAUUGCCUGUGUUAUGUAUUUAGUUGUGUGUUUGUGUAUCAGCUAGUUAAUGUAAUAAAACCUUUGAAGGGAAGAUUCUUUGAACAACUGACAAUGUUGUAGCUCAGUAUUGUGGAGGGCAUUGUUAAAUUAUUAGAUUAUUUUCUUUGAUGAUAUC